UACGUAGGAGGCGAGCGUUAUCCGGAUUUACUGGGCGUAAAGAGGGCGUAGGUGGCCUUUCAAGUCGGAUGUGAAAUCUCCUGGCUUAACUAGGAGGGGUCAUUGGAUACUGUUGGGCUAGAGGGCAGCAGAGGGAGGCGGAAUUCCCGGUGUAGUGGUGAAAUGCGUAGAUAUCGGGAGGAACACCAGUGGCGAAGGCGGCCUCCUGGGCUGUUCCUGACACUGAGGCCCAAAAGCGUGGGGAGCAAACAGGAUUAGAUACCCCCGUA
rnacentral:rRNA from 1 species